AUGGUUUCGUCGAUGCGGCAGUACACGGAUCAGGCAGAGGCGCCCUUGUCCCUCUCCCUCUCGCUGUCCCUCGGCGCCAUCGCCGACCGCAGCAAGAAGAUGCGCCGCGGCGCAGAUGGCGAGUUCGUGUGCAAGACGUGCAGUCGCUCGUUCCCGUCGUUCCAGGCGCUGGGCGGACACCGGACCAGCCACCUACGCGGCCGCAACGGGCUCGCGCUCGGCCUCGCUGCCGGAUACGAUCAGCCGGGGAGCAAGAAGAUCACGGAGCAGAAGCAGGCGCACCAGUGCCACGUCUGCGGGCUCGAGUUCGAGACGGGGCAGGCGCUUGGCGGCCACAUGCGGCGGCACCGUGACGACGCGGUCGCCACCACGGCGCAGGCACCGCUCGUGCUGCUCCAGCUCUUCCUCUAG
rnacentral:rRNA from 1 species